UACGAGGGGGGCAAGCGUUGUUCGGAAUUAUUGGGCGUAAAGGGCGCGUAGGCGGCGCCACAAGUCACUUGUGAAAACUCUGGGCUCAACUCAGAGCCUGCAAGCGAAUCUGUGGUGCUGGAGUAUGGGAGAGGUGCGUGGAAUUCCCGGUGUAGCGGUGAAAUGCGUAGAUAUCGGGAGGAACCCCUGUGGCGAACGCGGCGCACUGGACCAUAACUGUCGCUGAGGCGCGAAAGCUAGGGGAGCAAACAGC
rnacentral:rRNA from 1 species